CCGCGAGAUAGCACCCUUUGCCUUUUAUGAGUACCUUUGUUUCCUCGGCAGGUGUGCCUGCCAGCGGGGACCUAUGUAAACUCUUUGUAAUAGCAUUACACGUCUGAUAACAUAACAAAUUAUCACAACUUUCAACAAUGGAUCUCUUGGUUCUGGCAUCGAUGAAGAACGCAGCGAAAUGCGAUAAGUAGUGUGAAUUGCAGAAUUCAGUGAAUCAUCGAAUCUUUGAACGCACAUUGCGCCCCUUGGUAUUCCAUGGGGCAUGCCUGUUCGAGCGUCAUUUCAAUCCUCAAGCUUAGCUUGGUGUUGGGUGUUUGUCCUGCCUGUUGUGCGUGGACUCGCCUUAAAAAUAUUGGCAGCCGAUCUCCUCAGCUCGAAGCGCAGCAGAUUUAGCGCGAUGAAGCUAGGCGUAACGGUACCCAGAAGCUUCUCCU
rnacentral:rRNA from 1 species